rnacentral:rRNA from 1 species
AGUGAACGCUGGCGGUAGGCCUGACACAUGCAAGUCGAACGGCAGCACAGUAAGAGCUUGCUCUUACGGGUGGCGAGUGGCGGACGGGUGAGGAAUACAUCGGAAUCUACUUUUUCGUGGGGGAUAACGUAGGGAAACUUACGCUAAUACCGCAUACGACCUACGGGUGAAAGCAGGGGAUCUUCGGACCUUGCGCGAUUGAAUGAGCCGAUGUCGGAUUAGCUAGUUGGCGGGGUAAAGGCCCACCAAGGCGACGAUCCGUAGCUGGUCUGAGAGGAUGAUCAGCCACACUGGAACUGAGACACGGUCCAGACUCCUACGGGAGGCAGCAGUGGGGAAUAUUGGACAAUGGGCGCAAGCCUGAUCCAGCCAUACCGCGUGGGUGAAGAAGGCCUUCGGGUUGUAAAGCCCUUUUGUUGGGAAAGAAAAGCAGCAGGUUAAUACCCCGCUGUUCUGACGGUACCCAAAGAAUAAGCACCGGCCAACUUCGUG